GGCAGUGUGGCCCAGUGGGUGGGGAACUAGGUUGGGAAUCUGGACAUUUGGGUUCAGUUCCUAGAUCUGCUG
rnacentral:tRNA from 1 species